UGUCAGUUGCUCCUUCCCAUUGCUUUGGGGUGUUGGCUGCCAGGAAUAUGAAAAGUGACUUCAGGUUGCUCUGCAUGUUCGUCUUCCACAUGGACCAUGACUCGACCUUGUAGAUAUGGAUAUGCUUCAGUGUUGAAAUGCUCAAGAGAUCAAUAGGGAGCGCUUCCACUGUGGCAUCCCUUGCAUCAAAAGUUUGCAAGUUUGUGAGAUUACUGACGGCAGCAGGAAGUACAUAUGUGCCACCUUUCAAGCCAAGGUACCUCAGAUGUACCAUCUGGCCGAUCUCUGCAGGUAGCUGCCAUCUCCCUCUCAUGCCAUCAAAGUAGAGUACCCGCAGGUAAUUCAAGCCUCGGAAAGAGAAGACGUCCUUUUCUAGCCGAGCUGCAUUGAAGAUCAGCAAGGUGUGCAGAUUUGGCAUAGCAACACCGACCUUCACGCAAACGGAGUCGUAGAGAACCACCCUGUAAGCUCUCAUUUCAUUGGAAUAUGAGGUCUCCACUUCAUCUCUGGAACUGCAGUCUUUCAAGAAGCCUUCUCUUCGAGCUCGCCCAAUUCCCCAGUCGCGCAACACGUCAUGUACCUUAACGGCCCUGAUGCACCUGGAGCUCUUCUUUUCAAUUAGGAUCAAGCAGCGCUGGGCCAGUUCUUCCACAUACCCGAGCGCAGUUUCUUCAAGGGAGCGUCCACGCACGUUUGAUAUGAAACCCUCUGAAAUCCACAACUUCGUCAGAAGGCCAACCGGGACUGCGUAGUCUUCUGGGAAUGAUGUGAUGUACAAAAAGCAUGCCUUCAGAUUGCUUGGCAGAUCAUAGUAACUUAGGUCCAGUAUGGCUCUGAUGUCACCUUCAUUCUUCAUUGUGUCCCAGUUUACGCUAGCAACCAUUCUUCUCCACUCGGUGAUCCUGAGAUUCUUUGAAAGGAAACCUCCCAUGACUACAAUUGCAAGAGGCAAGCCAUUGCAUUUUAAUGCAAGUACCUUGCCUAGUUCUCUGAAGCUAUCCAGAUCAUCUCUGCCAUGGACGACAUAGGAAGGGAAUGCCUUUCUGUUGAAUAACUCUAUACUUUCGUCGUCGUUAAGGAGCUUGACCUGCUGGAUUAUUUUUCUUGCGUUGGGGUGAUUGGAAACUGCUGAGUUGCGAGUUGUCAGAACAAUUCUGCUUCCAUUUUUCACAUCAGGAAAGGCAGCUUGGACCAUAUCCCAGUCUUUCAUUUUCCAGACAUCAUCUAAGACUACAAGGUACCUUUUAUCCUUGAGAAAACUGUGGAUCUUCUUGAUGAUUUCAAUCUCAUUCAUUGUUCCUAGUUCUUCGAAGUCUUGAUUCCCCAUGACCCCUUUAACGAUAUCCUUCAGUGCACCAUAGACCGAAAAUUGCUGUGAGAUGCAUAUCCAUACGGAGGAGUUGAAAUGCUUUUUGGCGACAAGAUUGUAGACCUUCCUGGCAAUGGUUGAUUUCCCUGAGCCCCCUGGACCAACAAGGGAGACGACAGUGAGGUCCUUGUUCUCCAAGUCAAGCAGUUGAUCCUUGACCUGGUUGAUUUCACUGUCAAAGCCAAUGACAUCAACCUCAUCCCCGAAAUCCGGAAGCAUCAGUCUCCUAGAGCGCGCUUGCAGUGGACCGGGUAAUAGGCGCCCUUGGAUAUGGCGCCGAGGAGGGACGGCGGUCUGUUGUUCUCCCUGGCCAAGAUGUUGGCCGUGUCGAUGAUGAUCUCGACGCUGUAGGCGACGUCCCUGACCUCCGACACCAGUUGGCUGAGCAUCUCAUUCUCGCCCCUCUCCAUCCUCGCGUCGGCGUCCCUGAGGAAGCACUGCAUGCGCUUGAGCUCGGACUUGAGGGCCUCCACCUUGGCAGGAACCUGGCCCAGAGAAGCGACUUCUUGGAUCACGGUGGCGCCUGCCCGCUGCAGCACAGCAGCGACCGCGUGUUCGGCCAUGUCGUGUGAUCUCUGCGUUAUAAAGCACAAGGUCAUGCAACUUACAUAUGGUCCGAGAGUCUCUAAGAGGAGAAGUGGAUCCAAAGGAGCAACCAUGUGGCCUCAUGUGGUAAGGAGGGACACAAAUGGAUGCGUGGGACGGUUCAGACUGAGGCGGGGCAAGAUUUAUAAACUGAAGUCGACACAACAAGAAGAUGAAGAGCAUGAGGGGCUCGCGUACCUGAAUCCGCUGGCUAUCCGGCGAGGAGAGGACGACGGCAAUGGGUUGUGCUGGAUCGGGGUCGUUGUGCGUGGAGGAAGCCGCGUGGUUUGUUGGAUCAUCACCCGAACAUUAUUCUCAAGUCAGCUCGUGCUGCUGCGUCAGGGACAGUGACAGGGAGAUGAUUGUGGUUUCAAUACCAUGAUGGGCGUGGACGUUUGACCCGGUGUCUCCGGCCGGACGAGUUCAUGGCUUGCCCUCACCCUUGUCAGUUUGUGUAGCUCGUUUUUUUGUUCCAACACACUCUGGCUUUGCGGUUGGAGGCGCUAUCUGUGAUGUGGGCCAUAACGCGAACUAGCGAGUGUCCACCCACCCAAGCUCGCUCGUCGUUUCGUUUGGUUCCAAAAUACAAGCCUUUUUAAAGAUUUCAAUAAAAGACUACACAUGGA